CGCCACCGCCGUUGCCCCUCACCAGAACUAGGCCUGUGGCCUCACCCCGCCACCGCCGUUGCUCCUCCCACAACCAGAUCGCCGGCGGUGAACAACGGAAGAUCGCACUCGUCUCGAAGAAAUCACUGAACUCGAAGCCACGCCCAACAUCGCACUCCUCCCUAAAUCGCCGCCGCCAUCUGCAAAUCAGACUCUCACUCCUCGUCGUGCCCUAGGGCGACCGCCAUCUGCAAAUCGCCACCCCCAAAUUAGACUCUCACUCCUCGCCGUGCCCUAGGACCCAAAUCAGACACCACCGCACUAGGCCACCGUCUCCCUCGUUUUCCGGCCACCCUCCUGCUUCCCUCUGCAAAUAAGACAGCCACCGACCGCCUCCGCCUUUCUCCUUUUGAUUUUGACCGCAUCUUUCCUCAAAAUCAG
rnacentral:lncRNA from 1 species